rnacentral:lncRNA from 1 species
CCUCCUCCCUCAGCGCAGCUUUGCAGGCGCUGGGGCUCCCAAAGGACGGAGCUUUGAAUCCACCUGGGAGGCUUAAGAGAAAGUGCUGAGUCCCCCAUGCCCUACCCCUGAGACUGCUGACAGGCAUCGCUGAGGGCUGCAGCUUUGGAAUCGGGCAUCUUCUGAGGAAGAGAAAGGCACCACAGCCACGGCACAGAAGACUAGGGGAGCCAGCUUCAGCUUUUGCCAAGUGUUUGGUUCAUCUGACGCUUGGUGAAGUCACAUGCAUCUGCUGCCCUGACAUCCAGGAGAAGGAACCAUCUGGCUCAAGAAUCCAUUACAGAAGAGGCCGUCAGCACCCGUCACUUGUGCCUCCCCAUGUCCAGCUGAGUUUCUUUCUCUCUGCUCAACUCCAAAGUGUUGAUGAGUCAAUCGAUGCGGCCCUUGCCACUGCGUCUCACUGGGAAUUCCGGUGAGGUGGCCGUCUGCCUGCGUGCGUGCCAGCUAGCUCCUCGAUCAAUGCACACUUCUUUAAAGUGCUGCAGGAUGCUGCUGGAAAGGAUUUGGUCUGGCUCAUUUGGCUGUUGAAAAAGGCCACGCCUGCUUCAAGUUCCUCCAGUACUCGGGGGUAAUUACAAGCAUUUUCAGAAAACAAAACAGCCAAAUGGAAAAUUUUUGUUACAAAACAUGCUUUGGCCACUUCAGUAGUUGAAAUGACAAGAGAAUGGAAACCCCCUUAAGUGAGAUCAUGCUGUUUUUGAGAACAUAUUCUUUAAGAGGAAAACUGUUCUAAAUACUAACAAUGGUGACAGUGGUGCUGUUUAUGAUAACAGUGACAGAUCCACAUAAUUUCCUUUCCCAAAGGUUCCUUUUGGUCACUCAGGCUCCCAACCUUGGAAUAAUCUUUCUUUCCUGCAUAUCAUCUCAUGGUCAACUAGUUGCCAAGAUCCCUAGGAUUUCCACCUUUCAUCCCACAUUGCUGUUUCUCUCCUUUCCAUCCACAUCACCUUUGUUCAGCUCCUCGUGUGUCUUUCCUAAACUUUGGCAAGGGCUGUCUAACCUGUAUCCUUCCUCCCUUCCAUUUUAUCAUUCACCUUUCAACCAUUUCCCAGGAAUUCCAUUGUAUUAGUUACCUGUUGCUGAGUAAAAAUUAGCCCAACACGUGUUGGCUAAAAACAACAAAUAUUUACUAUGUCACAUAGUUGCCAAGGGUCAGGAAUUUGGAUACAUCUUAGCCAGGUGGUUCUGGCUCAUGGUGUCUCAUGAGGUUUUAGUCAAGAUGUCAGCUGGGGCUGCAGUCAUCUAAGGCUUGACCGGGACUUAAGGAUCCACUUCCAAGAUGGCAUGCUCAUAUGGCUAUUGGUAAGAGACCUCGGUUCCUCCCUAGUUUUUGAUAGGAGGUGUCAGUCUCUCAUUACAUGAGUUUCUCCACAGUGCUGCUUGAGUGUCCUUAUGACAUGGCAGCUGGCUUCCUGCAGAACAGGUGAUCCAUGAGAGGAAGCGAGGAGGACAAUACCAUGCAUUUUAAAACCUAGUCUUGGAUGCCAGACACCAUGUCUUCCUCAUAUUCUGUUAGAAGCUGGCCCACAUUUUAGUUUAGAGGAGGGGAAUUAGGUUCCACCUUUAGAAGGGAAUGGUGUUGAAGAAUUUGUGGACAUACUUUAAAAUGAUCUCAUCCCUUAUGUAAACAUUGCUGUCUGUGUUUUCAGGGAAUUUAGUCCACAGGCUCUUGUAUGAUUGGUUUACCCAGUCUAGACAGACAAGCCGCCAGAAAAGUAACCCAGUCCUGGUGCAUCUUUCCUUAAAAACCAUUACAGACUGCCCCGUGUUUAAAGAACUCAGCACAGAGUGCCUCUCCCACCCUCUGCCACCCUUAACUUUCCUUCCUUCCCUCCUUCACUCCUUUCCUUCCUUCCUUCUGUCCUUCCUUCCUUCCUUCCUUCCUUCCUUCUUCCCUCCCCCGCUCCCUCCCUUCCUUCCUCUCUUUUCUUUCUGUCUCUCUCUUUUUCUCUCUUCCUUUCUUUCGAUGGAGUUUCACUCUGCCUCCCAGGCUGGAGUGCGCUGGCAUGAUCUCAGCUCGUUGCAUCCUCCACCUCCCAGGUUCAAGUGAUUCUCGUGCCUCAGCCUCCUGAGUAGGUGGGAAUACAGGCGCCCGCCACCAUGCCUGGCUAUUUUUUUAUGGUGGGUUUUUUGUUUUCUGUUUUUUGAGAUAGAGUCUUGCUCUGUUGCCCAGGCUGGAGUGCAGUGGUGCAAUCUUGGCUCACUGCAACCUCUGCCUCCCAGGUUCAAGCGAUUCGCCUGCCUCAGCCUCCCAAGUAGCUGGGACUACAGGCAAAUGCCACCACGUCCGGCUAAUUGUUUUGUAUUUUUAGUAGAGACGGGAUUUCACUGUAUUAGCCAGGUUGGUCCUAAUCUCCUGACUUGUGAUCCACCUGCCUCGGCUUCCCAAAAUGCUGGGAUUACAGGCAUGAGCCACCAUGCCCCGCCAAUUUUUUGUGUUUUUAAUACAGACGGGGUUUCACCAUGUUAACUAGGCUGGUCUUGAACUCCUGACCUCAGGUGAUCCACCCAUCUCGGCCUCCCAAAGUGCUGGAAUUACAGGUGUGAGCCGCCGUGCCCCACUGCCACCCCUAACUUUUAAGGUAACUGACAUUUCUGGCCAUAUCCUCUCCUACUCCGCAAAGGGCAGCCUACCUUCUAGUUUACCUGGCAACUCGCUCUCUUCUGGACAUAUCCUGUGCUCCAUCAAUUCCCACUGCCCUCUGAACUCCUGCUUCUCCCUUACACCCAGUUUUAAUCACCAAGACCUGCUGGCUUUACUUUCUUAAUGAGUUCACAAAUAGUUCCCCACCUCUCUCUCUCUCUCUUUCCAGCUCAGGGUCAGACCCCUGGCUUCUCAUCAGGAGUCCUGCAAAAGCUUCCCCUCUGGGUUCUCUCUCCACCUUUGCCUGCUUCCUCACCAAUGUCUGGAGUUGCCCUGUGACCCACCUAAAGUGUGAAUCUGACCACAUCCACUCUUUGCUUAAAAUCCUUCCCUGGCCUUGCAUCAAUGACUGGAUAAAGUCCAGCUUCCUCCUGCAGAAUCCAAGACCCUCUUACAGGUCCCCCAGCUGAUGGUCCUCUCAAGACUCCCAUGUCUUGUUCUUGCAGCACUGCACCCCAGGCUGUUACAGACACACUGGGUGGUGCCCACCUUUUCCCUUUGCUUGUUUCCCUUUGGCAGGUGAGUUGAAGAGCCAGUGGGAAAGAAAGCUGUACAAGAGGGAACCCACGUGAAUGCAAGCCUCAAGAGCCUGAAGACAUCUAGGGGAGCACUCAGCCUUCCAUCUGGCAAAGAAUGGGGCUCCUCAGUUAAUUCUAUGUAGGCCUCGGAGGACAGGGUACAUAUGGAUUCUGCAACCAAGGUGCUAAUUAAACUCCCUAAUGAUCUUGACCUGGAAAAUGAGGCUCUUUGCUGAGCCCCCUGUAAGCCUGGCAGAGCCGCUACUAAUAACUCAUAGCAUAUCUGGCAGAGUAAUAUGCCCAGAGGAAUUUCUGCUUCUUUGUGCAUUUUUAAACUCACUUCCAAAUUAGGGAAAGAAGCACUUUCUCACUUUUGUGCAAGAAUCCACAUUUCUGAAUGGUUCCGCCCUGUUCUUGCCUAACACAGGCAGUGUUGUGAUAUGAUGUGGAUGCCCAAUUAAUAUGAAUACAGUUGACUUUUAAAGAGAGCAGUAAGGGAAUUCUGAGCUCCCUCACGCUUUGCUAAAUGCAAAACAAAGCUGUCUUCUGCAAUGACCUUCCCCUUCUACUCAGAGCUGUUGCGUCUUGGGAAGGGUUUGAUUCCUUUGUCUGGGAGUCAUUCUUGUGGGCAUCACUGUCCAGCACUGGCAUGGAUGGAGCUUACUGGAUGUUUCCUUUUCUUGUGGUGUGUGGUGCCCUUUAGUGUUAUUUGCGAAAUAUUUUCCUUUGUUCCCACUCUGGCCGCAUGCUAGGGUUGCCCAUCCUGGCCCUGUCAUGAUUGGAUAGUGUCAAGUAAUUAGCUCACAUCAAUGAUUGUGCAUGGAUCAUAUCCACAGACUGGACAUUUAAUUGUCAUUAUGAGACCCUCCAGAUCUGUUUCCUCCUGGCACUGCUGAUCAGAACCAUUUGAGAUGGUAAUUGUUCAGUAAGCCUGGAUCUCUGAGCAGAGUCCCCUUGCUGACCUGUAUCAUGAUUUUUAGCCCACUGAGAUUUUGGAGUUGUUUGUUACUGCAGCACAGCCUAGCAUAUCCUGACUGAUCUAUAGCGUUUGGCAUUUUCAGCAACUUAAUAUUUACCAUAACUUUGCUUGCACAAAGGCAGUGUGCCUUUGCUGUUUUGUCAAUUCACAAUUCUUGUGCGAAUUUUCACUAAUGGCCAAUUAGAAUUUAUUAUUCUUUUCAAGGUUGGGAAGAGGAUGUUGUGGACUAAUAUCUUUGGCAACUCAGCCCAGUGCCAAGUGGUCUGAUAUCUGAGAAUGACCUUGGCAUACUUUGUGAGGUUAACCCUUCCUGGCUUAAAAACAGAUGCCCCAGCUUUGGCCAGGCCACUCCAUGGUUAAUAUUGAUAAUGACAACUGAUGGGGUGCCAACUAUGUGCCAGGCAAUGAGUACCUCUAAUUAUUACUAUAACUCUAUAAGUGAGGCUGUAUCUUAUUCCCAUGUCUCAGAUGGUAACACUGAGGGACAAACAGGGUAAACCUAUUUAAAUAGAUUGCCUAACCUCUCUUUGAUAGUGGAGCCCAGGUUUGGUCCCAACUCUGGAUGUAAAAGUCUAUGUUCUUUUUUAUUGCACCUAGCCAACUCUCCUUUGUAAAUUUCUAGGAGAGGGAUGAAAGGUGCCUCUGUCCUUAGGGAUGUUAUAGAAAUUAUCCUUGAUGGUAUUAGCCCGUUGACAUUCUGUGUUUGGUUGGAUGUCACAUUUUUAUUCAUUCAUUCAUAAAUUCAUUCAUGUAUUUAUCCACAUACUAAUCCAUGCAUUCACUCUUUCAUAAAUUCAUUCACUCAUUUGCUCAUUCAUUAACUCAUUCACGCAUUCCUUAGGCUUUGAUGAGAAUCUGUCAGGUGCUGGGUUUUGUUUGGGAUUGGGAUUUAGACAAGGACUGGUUAGGAUUUCUGCCUUCAACCUCAGUGGACUCACAGCCUUGGAAGAACAGCUCUGUGUGUGUGUGUGCGUGUGUGUGUGUACGUAUGUAUAUAUAUGUAUACUAUACAUAUGUGUACACCCACAGCUGUUCCUCUAAGGCUGAAGGCUGUAAGUACAUACAUGUAUUCAUAUAUACAUACAUAUAUGUACACAUAUACAUAUGUGUACACACACACACACACACACACACAAUGGUACAGAUAUGUCCAGGGAAGUAUGAGCCCACUGAGGAGGUGGCUUCUGGUCUAGAUAGGAUAUAAAGCUGUGUCAGGGCUGGCUUCCUGCAAGAGAUGAUAGUUUUAGAGUUUUUUGUCUUCUAUUUUUCUUUAUGAGUUUUUCACACUCCCCCCGACCCUCAUUCCACUAAAUUCACAGCCUGAGGGUCAAUGUCAUUAUCCCCAGCUAUGAUCCUUCUGUUUAUGAGGGUCACAGUGUCCAUGGCUUCUAUAUUCCAUCCCCUUCCCCUUCCUCUUCUCCUGCCCCCACUGUGGUGUCAUUAUUUCCCACAUCUAGAAGGUUAAUGGCCCCUUCCAAGGAAUGGUGAUAUGGAAUCCUAGCUCUUUGGGGGCAUAAAUAGAUUUUUUUCCCCCCAAAGUUUGGCCUGUCACUUGCUCUUAAUGGCUUGAGGUUGGUUGCAGAACUAUCCGGCAGGAAAAAAUGAAAAGGACCCUCUGAUUACGUGCUCCUAAGUUGGCUGGGGUAAUUUGAGCAGAAACGGCUUUGCAGCUCUGGGGAAAAAAAAUGUAAUUCUCGUGUAUGAAAGCGUGAACCAGAGUUGCCAUGUUCACUUCUUGUUUUUAAAGCCCCCACAGGCCAAGUCACAUAUCUGGGUCAGAGGGUCUAUUGAUUACCUGUCACGCCCUGAGGUGUGGGUGAUCAAUAAUACUAACAUACAGGAAAGGUGGCCUUGAAUGCAGAAAUCCCAUUGUGUUGACCAUCCAUUUUUUCUCGCCUGUAAGUGCUUUGCAGGGAAGCAAAACUGUCUAACCUAGGGCCACAAAUGACCCAAAUCCUAAAACUGUUCCUACAAACCAAGGCUUUGGAAAUGCCCCGUUCCAAAGGAAGCAGAGGCAGGUUGUUGGCGCCGUCUCUCAGCGUUCGGACAGUGGGGCAGACAGGGAGGCAGGGGAGUGAGGAGGCAAGGGCGUUGAGGAGAAUUCUUGAGGAAUAGAGACAGAGGUCCCUCGCACCACAACCUUGACCUUUCAUUAAUGUUUAAUCAGGUGCUUGGAGCAAAGUACUUUCAAAAAGUCCUGAAAAUCCUUAUGACUAAUGAAGCAUUCUGUGACGGGAAGCCUGGCUUUGCCUGGAUCUGCUUGUGAAGCUCUCCAUGAACCCCUUUCUUUUUGGGGGGCCCCCUGCGCAGGGCAUGCACCAGUUUUUAUUUUUACUUUUUUUGAGACGGAGUCUCACUGUGUCACCCAGGCUGGAGUGCAGUGACACCAUCUUGGCUCACUGCAACCUCCUGAGUUCAAGCGAUUAUCCUGCUUCAGCCUCCCGAGUAGCUUGGAUUACAGGUGCCCACCACCAAGCCCAGCUAAUUUUUGUAUUUUUGAUAGAGACAGGGUUUCACCAUGUUGGUCAAGCUGGUCUCGAACUUCUGACCUCAGCUGAUCCACCCGCCUUGGCCUCCCAAAGUGCUGGGAUUACAGGCAUGAGCCACCGUAUCCGGUCCAUGCAACAGCUUCUUAUUUUCUGUCUGCCAAGGGGGCCGAGUCUGAGGCCUGUUUUGAUGAGUCAAUGUCAUAUGGAAUGCUGUGGCUCUUGCAGCCACCUACCCAGUAUCCAGUUUCCCUUCCUUCUUUCUAAGGGACUCAGAUUUUGUUAAUUCCCCUGCUUCUCCUUGGUACAGCCAUGGGAAGCGGAAGUGUGGUCGACCCCAGGUGACUGUGCUGAGUCAAGGGGUGAACAUUGGACCUUCCUUGGCCCAAUCAGAAAAGUGCUGGAGGCCACUCAGGUGGGAGGGGUUCUCACUCCUGCAGGAUAUAAGUGGUCUACCUUGUCUACCUUCCAGCCCACCUGGAUGACACGGUCCAUCUGCUUGAUGGAAGGCUGCUGAUGGAGCCAUUGGUGGAUCUCCAGGGGACCAGAGUGAAGAUGACAUUAAGACCAUGGAUGGCAGAGUACAAUUUCUGAAGGCUCUGUAGAGUUGGUAGAUCAACAUCCUACCUGGCUGUCCUGUUUAUAACAGGAAAUAUUCAAUGUCCAUAUUUUAAAACCAGUUGGAAUCCAGGUUGUCUGUUGCUUGUAGUUGAAAACAUCCAAACUAGGCAGUGGUGGAUACCUUGGGCAUAAGCUGCCAUCCUGAAAUGUGGCCAGGCUGAGCUGGUGGACAUUAUAAAAUCCACAAGUUGGGCCAUCAGGUGUGGGAAGGGAGUCAGAAUCGCAGAAUGUCUGAAAAGAAAUGGCUUGUGUUGCCCACAGUAAAGCCAGUAGGGUUCAUCACAUAUCUUGCUGGGAGGUCUUGGUGGGCAUUGUCUGGUAGGGAAAGAGUGUGGACGUUGGAUGCCACACACCUGCGUGGGCAGAUUGCUAGAUAAGUCAAGAUUGAUCAACAAUACCAGUUCCACUUGGGUGACAUGCUUUAAUGAUUGUCAUGAGCACACGACUGAUGGAUGUUACCCUCAAUGGUGCUUUAAAAUGGUUUCUUCUGUAAAAGCCAGCAAAAUGUAGACAGUGAGAGAGCAACCUCUGGCACCUUCAGGUACCUGGAAGCACAGGGCAAGAGAAAAUGCACCUGGGGUAGGAGGAGAAGGAAGGAGUGACCCAGUUCCACCUACUCACCCACCUCAAAGUCAUCAGUCAAAACCUUAGACUUCUAGCCCCAGGUCCACCAAAAGUAAAAUCUCUUGGGAUAGGGCAAGUGUUCUCAGCAACUUUUUUUUUUUAAGCUAGUCUUUGAACUCUUGCGUUGAGGACUCAGCAGUGGUGGGAGCAGCAGGAAGAUGACAGGAUUCUGUCCAUGUAAUCCAGUUGAGGGAUUAACUGUGUGAGUGUGCACGUGUAGGUGUGUGUAUGUGCACAUACUUGUGUGCAUGUUUGUGUGUGCACACGUGUGCAGUGUUCUUAUGUGCAUGUGUGUUGUACAUGUGAGUGCACAUGUGUGUGGUGACGGAGACAAGUAGGGCUGAAGUCGAAACAGCAUAAGCCUGGAGAUUUGGAGAAGCAACAAGGGCAGUCCCAUUCUGCUCGGAAAUGAAGAGCACAGGUGGCUGGGGGUGUUGGGAGUGGGAGACGGCAGCAGAAGAUCCCCUUGUAGGGAAAGGGCCUCAUAACCCCCCACACAGUUUCUGGGACUGCUAGCAAUUCCCCUUGCAGGAGAGAGAUUGUCUGCCUCCCUCUAUGGAUGAGGACAUGGAAGGCAGGACUUUAGUGAGCAAGUCCCUCAGCUCACGAGCGAGACUCAGGAAGGGAGGGGAGAGUCUGGUGGGAGACAUAGUGUUUCUCACUGGCCUGUCUCCCCACGAGCUGUUGCUGCGCCCUGGGCCACUCCUUCCUCUGUGCCUACCUGAAUUUCUUGUCUUUCGAGACUCCAGGUCGUGGCUACCUUAUCAAUCUUCCUGCUCCUUCCCAAGGCCCAGGUUGGAGCCCCUCUCUGUGUUCAGGAGGACUGGGGGCUCCCCCUACCCUCGCCCCAUGUCUUUGUAUUGCUAUCCCAACUUUAAUGCUGGGCUUUUCUGGAGACGUUGGGAUCCUUGAGGACAGAGCUGUGUCUUAUCCACUGUUAUGCUGGGUCCCUUACUAAACAGGUACUGAAUGCACUAAUCUCAGCCUGGAGCUAGGGGAGGCCAACAGAUACCCCUUUGCCUCAAUGUUGUAGGUAUGGCCUCUUGGGAACUGUGUAGUAUUUUUUUGUGGGUGAGUGUGAGUGUGUGUGUGUGUGUGUGUGUGUGUGUGUGUGUGUGUGUGUGUGUGUAUGAGAGAGGGAGAGAGACAGCCUGCAUCAUUCUGCACUGUGUCCUGCAUAUGUGUAGUCACAGCCCCAUUUACAACACCUAGAGUGUGGCUUGAGCAUGUCCCAGUUUUCAUCAGACUUGGGGAUGCCUAGGAAAAGAAGGAGAAAAGUUCGUGAGCAGCAGCAACAGCAGCCUGGGGCAGGGGAGGAGGGGCCUGGCCAGAAGCCCCAGAGGCCCCAGUAGCCGAUGGUGAACUGACCUUGUACAGGAUAAGCUGUCCCGGUAAAGUCCAAGUCAGAGGCUCAGUCUCCAUUCAGGACAAACUUCUAUAGGGUGAGGAAGGAGCUCAGACAGGCUGGCCUUGGGAUCUGCAGCCUCACUUUACUUGUUCCAGAAACAGAGAUUCUAUUCAGGGUGGCUGGCCUUGAAGGGGUGUCUAGGAGCUCUGGGAACAGUGCAACUGUGACGUGCACAGUGCCUUUUUUUUUAGCCCAAGGUUAUGUGUGGUAAACUAUGCAUGACAUACAAUCUAUCAUCUUACUACUUUAAGUGUACAGUUCAGGGUAUUAAGUACAUUCACAUGGCUGUGCAGCCACCACCAGCACCAUCCAUCUCCAGAACUCUUAUUGUUUUGCAACACUGAAACCGAAAACUGAGAACAUGAGGUAUUUGGUUUUCUGUUCCUGUGUUAGUUUGCUGAGGAUGAUGGCUUCUAGCUUCAUCCAUGUCCCUGCAAAGGACAUGAUCUCAUUCUUUUUUAUGGCUGCAUAGUAGAAUCUCCUUUAUUUUUAAGGCUGAAUAAUAAUCCCCUCGUAUGUAUGUAUGAUCCAUCCAGUCAUCCGUCGACAGGCAUUUGGGUUGCAUGGGGCAUCUUUAGUAUUUCGAUCAUCAAAUAAUUAAAUAAGAGGUUGGAGUUUACACGCAGUGUUUUCUAUACCGUUGUCUCAUUGAUUCAUUUCCCUGAAAUUAUAUUCAUGUGGUUAACUUGAUCCUUCUGUGGGAAAGGGCCUGGGAGGCAAAGAAAAGUAUGAGUGUGGUUCUGAUGCAACCCUUAGACUUUCCUGUGGCGGACAGUGGGUGGACGUCUCAGGUUGAUGGUGUCGCAGGUGUCUGUGCAGGGAUGGGGUGUUUCUACCGGAACCUACCCAGCUUCCCCACCUUGCCUUCUUUAUGUGCGCUGGCUGGCAUGGCACGGUGCCCUGCCACUGAUGCUGGCGUCGGAUGGCCUGGAACUGAGUGUGUGGCCUCAGGCAGGUGACUUUGCUUCUGUGAGCCUCUCUUCAUUUGUGGUCCCCAAAAGCGGCCGUGGGAAAGAAAUGAGAGAGCACAGUGUCUGAACAAUAGUCCUUUUGUGAUAAAUGGUGGUUUUCUUCCUACUGCUCUCCCACUUGGUGAUCAUGAACUUCAGAGAAAACAUUCCCUGAUUUUUGGGGACCCACACACAUGGUGAUGCGCUGGAUGUUGUCACCCUGGUCAGUCUGACUCCCCCCACCCCGGACAGUUGGGCUCUUCCUGAGAAGCCCAUCUCACAACGCGUUUGCAGGACUUCCCAUGAGUGAUUCCCAAUUCCAUUAUUCAGGGAUGCGAUGAGGCCCCAAGGGCUAAAUGUUGUGGCAUUGGAAGCAAAACCUACAGCCCAGAGUCAGCUUGGGUGAGAGGCCCAUGGGGCCCUCACGGCACCGACCUCAAAGACCUACAGGGAUGGAAGCCCGGCAAACAGAAAUCCUUCAUAAUUGCCCAGAAGUUCAAAGCUACUGGUCCGUUAGGUUAAUAGCCCUGCAGAUCUCAUGGCUGGAUCCGAAGCAGCAUUUGCGGAGUUCACAAUGAUCCUGGUCACCUUGGACGUUUUAUUGUGCCACUCGCUUGCAACAAGCCUCCAUCUCAACACAGAUGAGAUGUACUCCCAAGUAAGGAGUUUGAAAAAGCAGGAAGCACCAGCAGAUGGAGCGCGAGUUCGGGAUCCCAGCUCAGGCUGGUGCGGUUUGGGACCCAACACACUUGUGCAUUUCUGUGGGUUCAUCCGCACAGCACGUCCUCCACCGGGGCCCUACCUGCUUCCCACCACUGCGGCCCGGGCCCCUUCCCUGCUCAAUUCAGCCCUUUUCUUUAGAGCUCAGGUCCACCCUCCUAGAAACAAGAACACUAUGACUAAUUAUAAAAUCAUUAUAUGAUUAAACUCAAUUAACUUCAAAUAACCCUUGAAAUUUGCUUAAUGUCAGCCUUUGGCCCCGCUUGAACUGUUAAAUGUUGCUCUCCUUUGAAAUUCCAGUGAGACCAGCUGGUUACAGUCCACUACCUGGCGUGAUCCCUGGGCUCUGUGGGGCCACGUGUCUUGGAGUGCAGGGCAGGAAAUGAUGGCCUGGUGCUGAGGGUCCGGAGCACAGAAACUCCACCAGGUCUGGGUAGCCAGAGGUGCCACAGGGAACAGUCACAGCCUCACCCCAAUCCCGGGCCUAACCAGUUCUCAGAUUGGAAGCCCCUUGAUUGAAUCCUCUCGAGGGCGGCUGCACUGUCACAAGUGCAGAUCAUGAAUCUUCUUCCAAGCUAUACCCAGAGGAACACGGAGUCACUUACAAGAGUGAUGCUACACAGAGGAAAAGGAAAUAUUGAGACCCUUCAGGAUAUUCUGACUAUGAAUUGAUGUUAAUUUCUGGGGAUCCAAAAUACCACUGGGAUCUGUGCAUCAAAGUGAGGGCUUAUAGCACUUAGGUAAUAAAUGGAGAAUUAAGCCAAGCUCAAAUCAUGGUGGUCCCUGUAGGUCUGUGGACUCAUGCUGUGGUUAUCUCUCCAUUUCCAGAAUAUAAAAUUUAUAAUGUACAUACUUGGCAAUGGGCAGAAUUGUUUAGUUCUUUCUGAUGGGAAGUCCCUGGAACAUCCUUCCCUAUCAGGAUAGUAAACCAAAAGCUUAACCACAGUCCUGACUCUGAAUGGAUGUAAGUUCCACCAUCGAAUAUGGAUAGAUGUGGGUGAUACUCACCACAUGCUGUGAUCCUAUUAACUCACCUGUUGGGGCUGUGGAUGGAUCCUGGGGAAUGAAGAUGGGCUGUUUUCUGCUUAAUCAAGUGGUGAGUUCAAUUGCUGCUGCUAUUCCAGGUGUGGAAUUUUAUUAUGGAGCAAAUCAACAUGACCCUUAAUAUUGGAACGCAGCUAUCGACCAGAUAAAUACCUUCUCACUAGACCCAUUUGCAAGCACAGUCAGCAGAUGUUUGCUUUUACCUGACAAUGCCAAAUGACACCUGCCUGAUACGUCUUGAGAAUUUGUUCUUCCUCUGGAAACCUGUCUUUACUCGUGAGGUCUUCAGAACAGACCAGAGAAUGGGCUCUGUAAAAUGGUGAGGAUGGAAAGAAGAAACCAAUCUGCUGUGCACCUGUGUAUAGAGCAUCCGGCAGUUCUAGGUGCAAUGUUUUAAGGGGAAGACUUACACUAUGAAGCUAGCCCAGAAGAGGGUGACUAGAGUACUGAGGAGUUUCUACCUGGAAGGGCUGUAAGGAAGACAACUGCUAUGUUGUGAGCGGCUCUAUGGAGAGGCCCAUGUGGAGGGAAGUGAGGAAGGCCUCUGGCCAACAGUCCAGGAGGAAGUGAAGCCCUCAGUCCAACAGCCUGUGUGGAACUGAACCCUGCAAACAACUCUGUGUGUGAGCUUGGAAGUGGAUCCAUAUUCAGUCAAACCUUGAGAUGGGACACCAUGCUCUGCUAACACUUGAUUGUGGUCCCAGCUAGGCCACUGCUGAAGUCUUGACUCAGAGAAACGAUGAUAUAGUAAAUGUUUGUUGUUUCAAGUUGGUAAGUUUUGGGAUAAUUUUUUAUAUAGUGAUAAUUUUUUAUAUACUUUAAAAUAACACAUUGCCCUAUCCUUUGGUUACACUUUUCUCUUGGAACUCUGCUUGCCCAUAUAUUACAGAAAUAUUUUUCAGAUCAUGGGCUGAAAGGUGGAUUAUGGAUGCAAUGUUUAAAUUUAGCAAUGUCAUUUAUGACUGUUCAUAUGAGCUUUGCUGCAUAAAAUGUUGAUAUUAAUUUGUUUCCCUUUAAGACAUUCUUAAUGUUUACCUCUCAGUAUUUUCUUUGUAAUCAAUUAAUGUAAGAUGAAUAUAGUUUGUAGGUUUUACCUUUCUUGAUUCGUAUACAAAACACACAACAUCCAACCAUUGUUAUUUAAAGAUUAUCUAGGAGGAGAUGAUGGAAACUCUGUUUUGGGCCACCUUCUUUACACAUUGGGUCUAUUUCCCCUAACUUGAGUAUAUAUUAAACUAGUGGGGGAUUGAGCUACAAAAAUGCUACUUGGUGAGAAUUUUAUUAAUACAAAUACUCAACUCUGAAGUUACGUUUUUGUGGAAAGUUAUCACUUUGGAAUUUGAAUUUUCUUGGAGCUAAGCCACUGGUAGUUGUAAAAGCUACACCUGUAAAUUUGCUCCCUAGAAGAUACUUUCGUUUAGUGACCACUUGUUUCUCUGUGGAUAAAUUCAAUUAUAAAUUACAAUCGAAUUGACGUUUUCAUAGCAUCCUUCACUCUCCAAGUAUCUCAAGUCCUCUGUGAAUUAUAAAGUAAUUACAGUGCUCAAAGGACAGUUUCAUAAUUGUGUCCAUGAGCACAGACUUUCCUCUAUGUUCGAGAAGGGCUCAUUCCCAGCCGGGAACAUUAAGUUGGAUUUUAUUGAGACUGGGGACUGCUAGUCCAGACAGCUGGGUGAUCCCCUGCGCUAUUUUGAAAAGUAUCCUGGGAUCUUUAAUUUCCACCUGGAUGGUCAGGGAGGUGAGAGAACGGCCCUCACUGGGUGUGACCUUGUAUCCCACUUGGGGUCUUGAACCAGGGGACCCCCAACCCCAGAGGUGAGACAUGCAAUAUGGUCAAUUAUACAACCUCUUAAUUAUUUUUUGCUGAAUCUCAAGUGAGUUCUCAUGGCCUGCUCUCUCCCGGGUGGGUUCAGAAGGUGGCCAAGAAGAAAUGUUAGAAAAUUCCCAGAGAGCCAUUUCAUGAGAAUGUUUUCUUUGGUUUAUACCUGAUACUGUUUUGUUUUUGUUGUUGCUUUUUAAUAACUUUUUUUUCUUUUUGUGGGGUCAUUUGCGUAAUACACAGGUGACGAACACUCAAGGUUAUUUGGUCGCAUGCCACCAAAUAACUUUCCUUUGGCACAUCUGCAGUGAAGGAGUCUUUCUGUCUGUCUCCUUUUGUUCCUCAUCAUCUAUUAGCUUGGCACAGCUGACUGAGCUGUUAAAUGAUUACUGCAUAUUUUGUACCUCACCUUGAGAGGCUUUGGUAUAAAAAGGUGCUAAUUAAGCUGAAGCUUCUGGCCCUCUUGCCUAUGUGGGCCCCAGGAAGCGAAGCAAAAAGACUUUAGGGAGCUGGAGCUUGUGUGUGUGUGUGUGUGUGUGUGUGUGUGUGUGUGUGUGUGUGUGUGUGUGUGUGUUUCGUUUUCAGCAUUUUGAGGAAUUGUUACUGGAACUUAUAAAAUAAUUGUUUUAGACCUUAUAAACACAGCAAAUUCUUCAAACUACGUAUGAGGCUGACUCAAAAAGCCACGUAAAGGUAGCUUGGCGAAUCAACUAACUGCUGACCAGUUUGUGGUGAUCGUAAGUCUAUAUAUGCUGGAUUUGGCGAUCGUAAGUCUAUAUAUGCUGGAUUUGAAUAUUUUCUGUAUUUAAAGAAAAAUAAGUACAUUCUAAGAAUAGUUGUCAUCUCCCUCUGUAGACUUGCCCCGUAGAUAUUUGAAAUGGGGAUUAACAUAUUUAAGAGUAGCAGGAAGUGCUAUUUCAUCAGUGUCUAGAAUGGGAGGCGAAUUCAGUCCCUGCCUGGACUUGUUGACUAGCUCGCUGGGUUGUGAAAACCACGGCAUUCUCCUGGGAAUUUGUUCCAGGGCACUGACUGCAUUUCUUCUGAAGCUAAAGCACUUAGCUUUGCUUCCAUGCCUUUUAAUAUAAUUUGUAGGCUUCAGCAGAUUUCUAAAGUACACCACUUGAUAUCUUUCACAGCUCAAGGUAAAUUCUGCAGCACGAACUUAUAGAAUUUUUUUCUUUUACCUGGGGUGAGAACAUACCUUUUCCUAGUGCUAUUUUUUUUUUCUGGGCUACCUUUCAUCUGUUUACAUGAAUUCCACUUCUUCUCGCUGUGUUAAAGAAAUCCCCUAAGCUGUCUACAUAGGUGUGAAACUUUUGGUUGUGAUUUCCUUGAAGUUAGUUGGAACUGGAACAUUUUUUUCUGUGUCCUGAAUGGCUCACACAUUCCCUAACACAGAAUGGAUACUCAGCGAACAGUUGUUGAAUCAGUGAACGGUAAUGGCUCAGUUCUGUCAGACAAUGGAUUGAAUUAUUUUUACACCUUUAAUUCACUCAUGGACUGAAUUAACCUACUCAUGGGCUGUUUGGGGCAUCAAGUGAUAUUUAUACAUUUCUGAAGAAUGUGGAAUCACCAGGGUUAACAGUGUUUGCAGGUGGCGUUCGAUUGCAGGGGCCCAAGGAACCACGGCUGAAUUCCGCAUGGACAUAGGCCAUUUUCCACCAGCAAAGUUAUGAGAACUUUUUUUGUUUUGGUAACUGAUGUGAAAUUUUCAGUUCCGAAUGACAUCCAGAAACUCUCCUUCUGCAGCAGAUGAAUGUUUUGAGGGAAUUUGAGAGGAGGGUUUGUCUUUUAUCUCUCACCUGCACGAGGACACUUGCAGUCUCUUAAGAGAUGUUCUCUUUUUGAAAUGGUGGAAGGACAGAAGCAUCAGCCAGCCCGUUCAUGCUUGGGGACAGAGAGGGAGCUCAGAGCUUAGGGGAGCACAGGUCACUCUAAUGAAUGACAGCUGUAAUAAUAAAGACAUGCCAUCCAUGCUACUUUUUGCAGAAACCAGAAACAUCCUUGUGAAAGUUAAAGGGAAAAGAAAAACGUGUACUUUGAGGGGGGUGUUAACGGGGGACAGGAGGUGGCGACAUAAAAGACUGGUUUAAUGUGUCUCGUUGUAGCCCCUAAGGCUUUACCUGACCCCAUCACUGUCACAACACCUUCUUCGGGACUGACAGUCUUGGUAAUUGAUGGGUUGGUGGGGGCUUUUUUCUGCAAACACAUUAAGGCAGGAGGGAAUACUCUGGCCCCCACCUCCCCACGCCUGGCACGGGGGACCUGGAGGCGAGCAGACACCAGGCCCGGCGGUGUUGGGGGCAGAAGGGAUCAAUUCUGUCAACCAGACUGCCCAGCUACUGUCAGGCACUGGGACCCUUCACCUGCUCCUUGGAGUCAUUAGAACUCCCAAAUCUCUUUGCAGGCCUUUUCUAUUAGACACAUACUCCCAUGUUUUGAUUUUUUGCUCCCAAAGUCAUUUUUUUAAAUAAUUACCUGCAUCGAACCACACUUACCAUCUGUGGGCUGAGAGCGGGCAAAUGAUUUAUUAGUCUUGGUUUCUAACGGUGCUGAGCAGCUUGGGAUCGAUCUUGCUGGUGACACACUCGGCAGAUGCACCGAUGGGUGGGAGGGUCAAUGUCAGGAUGAAGCUUCUUGCGGAGCUGACAUGCACGUGGGGACCCCAGGUGUGGUGUUUAGUUGGUAGACUGUGACAUUGCAAAAGUGGAGUCUCAAGCCAUGGCGGAUAACAGGCGGCAGAAAAAGCAGUGAGGGAGCUUCUUGGGAUGUUUUACUUUAAGUAGAAAGUAAAACUGUGCAUGAAAAGAGGGGACAGAGUAUGCAACCCAAAUCAUCGCCAAGGCUCUUGGUUUCUUCUGUGCACACUGCCUGCCUUGUAUCCAAGCGUUUGACUGUGCAGAGGCCAGUCAUACUGGGGGACCCUGAGCACUACCCUUGGCAUUUGGGUAUAUCCUGAUCAAUAUAGCCAUUUCCACUGCUUGACAUUAUGUUUUGGGGGCUAGUUUUUUAAAGAUCAAUGAUUGAAUUGCUGCUCGGCUGAUUGGAUAUGUCUUCUCGGAGACUCACCUGUCCUCCCCGAAGAGAUGCUGACUACACAACAGCAGUCACUGUGCUGGGCACACGGGCAGUGUUCAGGAGACGUGGCUUCCUUUCUUCUUCUUUCAUUUCUUCCUGCCCAGAACAGCAAGGCUGAGACUGAUAAUAAAAUUCCUGGAACAUGGAGAAACUCAUGUGGGGAGAAAAGAAGAAAUGUAUUGUGACUUCCAUGGGCUUUUGGCACUUUUGGACCUCCCUCCUCCUCUUUUCCAUAAAAAAUGUAUUUUAAGACAUAUUGGUAUAAAGAUGAGAUUAUUCAUAGUACAUAUUAAAAUGUUUUCCCCUACCUAAAAGUUUGUGGUUUUAUUGUCUUCUUGUUUUUAAAAUAAAUUAAAAUAUUUUCAAAGGCCGUUAGAAGAACCGUGGGCCCUGGGCUUGGUGCCUGCUGUGCCUCAUAAAUCAGGCCUGGAGAAGAGACAUCAGUGACAUUUUAGUGUCAGGUAGAAAAUGUAAAAUAUCAUGAUUGUUUUCCAAUGAUAUACUAAGUAAGACACAUAAGAUGUGUUUUAAUUUUUUUCUUGAUGUAUGCUGUUGUCUUUUAGUUAUAAAUGCUGAGUACUGUUAAAAGAUAAACUGAGGCACAAUAAAAUUUGAAGAGUUUAUUUGAGCAAACAAUGAUUUGUUACCGAAACACCAGGGGUUCAUCUGGGUCCUGCUGCUUGCCACACAGAAAGCCAAUCACUGAGACAAUGAAUAUUGCCAAGGAAGAAGGCUUUACUCAGGUGCUGCUGUCCAGGAGAUGGGAGAUCAGUCUCAACUCCACCUCCCUGACUGAUUAAAACUAGAGGUUUUAUAGCAGGGAAGAAAUGUAACAGUAUGUAAGAAAACAGGAACUACGGAGGGGCAAGGAAGCAAUCAUGAAGAAUGAGGGGCCUGACAUCUCAUUGCAUGUGAUGAUCUGGUGAGUUUCAGUUCUCUGAUACUCUUUGAGAGGUCUGGGCUUCCUUUCCUGUGGAAGCAACUCAGAUAAAACAAAUGUAAGUUUGAAGCUUUAAGAUCAGAUGGAUCAAUUUCUUUUUUUUUUUUUUUUUUUUUUGAGACGGAGUCUUGCUCUGUUGCCCAGGCUGGAGUGCAAUGGCCACGACCUUGACUCACUGCAAGCUCCGCCUCCUGGGUUCAUGCCAUUUUCCUGCCUCAGCCUCCCAAGUAGCUGGGACUACAGGCACCCGCCACCAUGCCCAGCUAACUUUUUGUAUUUUUGGUAGAGACAGGGUUUCACCAUGUUAGCCAGGAUGGUCUUGAUCUCCUGAUCUCAUGAUCCACCUUCCUUGGCCUCCCAAAGUGCUGGGAUUACAGGUGUGAGCCACCACGCCUGGCCAGAUCAAUUUCUAUGUUUAUCUAAAAACUGUUGAUGAGACUUGGGUCAGUUUCAGAUUCACGAAUCAGGCAGCUCCAAACUAAAAGUGGUUCAGUGCCUAUGCUGAGGAAAGGAAGAGACAGGCUUUUGUAGAGUGAAUGGGGAAAGAACAGAAAUGCAAUAUUUGAUUGGUUACAGUUAAAACUUGCCUCAUUUGGUCUAUCCUGCUGAGAAGUCCCCAGUUAUAUAAUUAUAAAUUUGUUGGCUGCUUCUGAUUGUUUGAGCUUCAGUUCUGGUUUUCUAAUAUGGGCAUUUACAGAAAUAGCUCAUGUUAAGUUUUGUUUAUGUUUGCAAAUCAAGCAAGGUUAAGGUCAUUAAUGAAGUCUAACUGGCUUUGCCUGCUCAGGGCAUCUUCAAGCCCGGUCUUCAUUUUGAUUUACUGUAACAGUACUUUAGAUUUGUAAGGUAAAGUUAGAGUCCAUCUUUGUUGACUCCAAGACAUACUCUGAAGUUUGAACUUUUUAAUAACUCCCUGAUAUGUAUUAACUUUUUUUGUAGGUAUGACUGUCAUCUACAUUUCCAAGUUCUUUUUUUUUGAGACAGAGUCUCACUGUGUUACCCAGGCUGGAGUGCAGUGAUGUGAUCUCAGCUCACUGUAACCUCCACCUUCCAUGUUCAAGUGAUUCUUGUGUCUCAGCCUCCUGAGUAGCUGGGGUUACAGGCGUGUGCUACCACGGCCAGCUAAUUUUUGUAUUUUUAGUAGAGACGGGUUUUCACCGUGCUGGCCAGGCUGGUCUUGAAUUCCUGACCUCAUUUGAUCUGCCUGCCUCAGCCUCCCAAAGUGCUGGGAUUACAGGCAUGAGCCACCACGCCCGACCUCCAAGUUCUUUCUAGUAAGUACUUAGUACUUUAGGUUUCUUAAGAUUUUUCCUCUUAUUUAGCUGAAAUUUUGUGUCCUUUAAGUACUUACUACAGAGAACUUGGAAAUUUAGAUGACAGUCAUACCUACAAAUAAGGUUAUUAUGGAUAAGUUAUAGUGUUAUUUAACUUAUUAUGGGUAAGUUAUAGUGUUAUUUAAGUUACUAUGGAUAAGUUAUAGUGUUAUUUAACAAUCAAUAUGCUACUUAGGAAAAAAAUUUCCUGAGCUCUAUGCAAAGAAGCCUGUUGUAAAGCAAAUAAUGCCAUCUAAUGUAUUUGCUUGUCACUUGGGUUGUUUUUUCCAAUUAUUGAAACAUUUAAAAUGAAUGCAUCUCUAUUCUUUCUAG